CAUUUGUAUUUAAUUGAAAAUAUCUUUAUUCAAUAUUUAAUCAUUAGAAUAGAUAAUUCUUUGACAACUCAAAUCAUUUUGAGUUCCUUAUUCAUCAUAUAAUUCAAGUGUCGAAUUUAAUAAGAUAACUUAGGUGAGUUUUUAUUUGAUUUGAUUGUUGUGAUCUUGUGACUUUAACGUAAUUUAAUUUCAUACAUUUUAUUCAUUUAUUUAGAAGUUUUGAUUUCUUUUUGUACAGGUUUAGUUGGUAGUGUCAUGAUAGAUCUCCGAAGGCGGGAAAAAUUCCAAUAUGGACGCCAUGUCUUUCGUGAUGACGUGAUAAAAUUUUACAUUUCAAAAUAUUUGUGACCGCGCGCAAUGCGGUUAAUAGAAUCAGUGUUUGCUUCGUCAGUAGUAUUUUUAAUAUUUUUUAGAGCACAAUAGCUCUGAUUAAAUUUAUUUAGAAUAAACAAAGAAUCGCGAAGAUAGAAUCAGUGUUUUUUCGCCGAUUAAUUUAUACGGACGCGUUAUUAGUUUCUUAUUUUUAUUUUGUUUUUACAAAUAUUCGUUUUCGGUACAGAGUAAAGUCAGUGCUUCUCUCAAGAGAAUAAGGCGAUCAUCCAUCACGCGAAGAGAUGCUGAUAAUCUGCUCUUCAUGAAAGCUUUUCUUGGAUAAUAUUUAAUCUUAAAAAAUAUUUGUGACCGCGCGCAAUGCGGUUAAUAGAAUCAGUGUUUGCUUCGUCAGUAGUAUUUUUAACAUUUUUUAGAGCACAAUAGCUCUGAUUAAAUUUAAUUAGAAUAAACAAAGGAUCGCGAAGAUAGAAUCAGUGUUUGUUCGCCGAUUAAUUUAUACGGACGCGUUAUUAGUUUCUUAUUUUUAUUUUGUUUUUACAAAUAUUCGUUUUCGGUACAGAGUAAAGUCAGUGCUUCUCUCAAGAGAAUAAGGCGAUCAUCCAUCACGCGAAGAGAUUUCUUUCCUCCUCCUACCUGAUGGCAGCCUUCUUCUCGAUGACUUCUAGGUCAGAACACAGCGAAGCCGUUCGUCGCAUCGUAUGGUGAGUCGCAUGGUUUUUGGUUCCUCUGGUCGCUCAAUCAUGUCGUAGGAUGAGAGAUCCGAAUCGACACGAGUGACUGGUUGUAUACGUAGAAUUUUGCACGAGCACAAUGAUCGCGGGUAUUUAUUUAUAAUACCCGUGAGUAGUAACAAUUAUUUCUUUUGUGAUUUAUUAGUUCAGGCUAGAGUCUUCUUAUGCAUCGCGUUUUUGAUUAAUAAUAUUUAGCGAUUUUGUAAAUUUU